AUGUUGUACAGAAGGAAAGUUCGGAAGAGAGUGUCGCGAAAAGGAGAAUCAUGACUAGUUUUGGAUGGAAUUUCUGUUUUGACAGAAGAUGAAGACAUUUUACGACCCGGUACUGCGUUGCAUGCAGUGGACUGUGCCCGAGACGAUUCCCUAAGCGCCGGCGAGUUGUCAGCUUGUAAAAAUGAAAUUGUGCCUGCAAAGUUUGAAGUGACUAUGGAAAUGAUCAAUAUUGAACUUUCUGAACCUUCCUACUUAAAGUGAAUCCGUUCGUGACUGACAUGACCAUUUAUUUGGCUACCCUCUAACAUAACGCCAUAUUUUAUGUGUUUAUUAUUGUGAAUUUCAUGGGAUAUCAGUGAGGAAGUGAUUCAAGCAGAUACUUGAGAAAUUUCGGAUCUAACUUAAUUAGGAUCUUUGGCAUAUUCGGUGAAAAUAGCAUGUGUUGAUUUUAUGGGAUCUUUUUUAUUAAUGUAGUUGUGUAGUUGAGAUUUUGUACUUAAUACCUGUGUUUGUCACUCUAGUCUAUUCAUUAACUUUGUACGGUAAAUGUACAUGGGCAACUGGAAGUUCUUUGUAACUGCAAUUGACCUCUCCCAAUGUCAUUAAGUCAAAUGCCAUAUUUUU